rnacentral:rRNA from 1 species
GACGAACGCUGGCGGCGUGGAUUAGGCAUGCAAGUCGAACGGUAGGAUACCUUCGGGUAUCUGAGAGUGGCGAACGGGUGAGUAACACGUAGGUGAUCUACCCUCAAGAUUGGGACAACCCAGGGAAACUUGGGCUAAUACCGGAUGAAAGCAGCAGCGAUGUUGUUUGAAAGGUGGCGUAAGCUGCCGUUUGGGGAUGAGCCUGCGCUCUAUUAGUUAGUUGGCGGGGUAAAGGCCCACCAAGGCGAUGAUAGAUAGGCGGCCUUAACGGGUGGUCGCCCACACUGGGAUUGAGAUACGGCCCAGACUCCUACGGGAGGCAGCAGUCGAGAAUAGUCUACAAUGGCCGAAAGGCUGAUAGUGCGACGCCGCGUGAACGAAGAAGCCCUUCGGGUGUAAAGUUCUUUUAUAUGUGAGCAGUGCUUUCUAUGUGAACAGCAUGGGGAGAGAGAUAUUAGCAUAUGAAUAAGCAACGGCUAACUCCGUGCC